GAUGAACGCUGGCGGCGUGCCUAAUACAUGCAAGUCGAGCGAACAGACGAGGAUCUUGCUCCUCUGACGUUAGCGGCGGACGGGUGAGUAACACGUGUAUAACCUACCUAUAAGACUGGGAUAACUUCGGGAAACCGGAGCUAAUACCGUAUAAUAUAUUGAGCCGCAUGGUUGAAUAGUGAAAGACGGUUUUGCUGUCACUUAUAGAGGGAUCCGCGCCGCAUUAGCUAGUUGGUAAGGUAACGGCUUACCAAGGCAACGAUGCGUAGCCGACCUGAGAGGGGGAUCGGCCACACUGGAACGGAGACACGGUCCAGACUCCUACGGGAGGCAGCAGUAGGGAAUCUUCCGCAAUGGGCGAAAGCCUGACGGAGCAACGCCGCGUGAGUGAUGAAGGUCUUCGGAUCGUAAAACUCUGUUAUUAGGGAAGAACAAAUGUGUAAGUAACUAUGCACGUCUUGACGGUACCUAAUCAGAAAGCCACGGCUAACUACGUG
rnacentral:rRNA from 1 species